UAACGCGUGGAGAAGCUGGUCUCGGAGCAGCAGUGCGGGGGUUCAGCUGACUUUAAAGAGGACAGCUGACCUCUGACUCCUUCAGGCCAACUGCAGAAUUCUUCAUGAGGUGGAUUUCACGCUUGAGAGACACAUUGUGCUACAGGUGUUAAGGCCAAAUAAAUUCCCAGGGGGGCGCUGUGCACACCUUAACGUCCGGGUGGAGGCACUAAGUGGUUAAUUAAGUGGAAUGGAAGAGGAUGAAGACAUAAUUCAAACUUUACUUUAAGAUAAUAUACUUAAGUGUGAUGUUUUUGUGCAUUUUUAUUAUUAUUUGUGCAUCUUAGAUUUUUCUUUAGCCUAAUUUAGCAAAUCAUAUCACAUUCAGUUCAUGGGUUAAUCAGUGGCAGUCUGAAAGGGCUGCCACUUGUGGUUAACAGUGCUUUUAGUUACCUUAGGACGUAGGAUUGCUUUCGUUUGUUUAUUAACAGCUUUGUUUAAAAGUUUGGUACUGAUCUUGAGGAAGACUUUACCAGA